CCAAUGUGCAAGCUGCAGUCUGGGUUUGUGCUGUGGCAUUGUUAGCCGGUUUGAAUUCACACCUGGCAUUGGCAGGGCCACCUGCUGGUUUUUUUUUUUUUUUUUUUUUUUUUAGACGGAGCAUUUAUUUGGGAUGAGGAAAGGAAAUUGAGCAGAAGGUACAGGAGUAAUAGCAAUUCCCUGUAGCUCUCAAAGCAAAUUUUGAGCUCAUUUUUCUUUUUCUGCAAGCUCAGCAGCAGAAUGCCCAGAGUCUUCCCUGGGAAACAACCACUUCUGGGAUGUCCGCUGCAAUCUGCUCCGGGGCUGCAGCAACCUCAUCAGCUCUUGCCUGGAGUGGCUCAGCCUGGGCCUGCAGGGCCACCAGGAGAAUGGCAGCAAGGAUGGCGAGGGUCCUCAUGGCUGGGGUGACCUGGAGGAGGGAGAGCAGGAGCAGACGAGUCGGGAGAGAGGAGUUAGCCUGGAUAUAUAGGUCUGCAGAGAGAAGGCUCG
rnacentral:lncRNA from 1 species